UUGUCAAAUAGGUGUUUCUUCAGGUUCACGGUACAGAGGAAGGGUCAAACUACCACCAGGGUCAUAAAACUACUCCUGGAAAUGCCCACAACUCCUAGGAAAGCCUUGUCAAAUAGGUGUUUCUUCAGGUUCACGGUACAGAGGAAGGGUCAAACUACCACCAGGGUCAUAAAACUACCCCUGGAAAUGCCCACAACUCCUAGGAAAGCCUUGUCAAAUAGGUGUUUCUUCAGGUUCAUGGUACAGAGGAAGGGUCAAACUACCACCAGGGUCAUAAAACUACCCCUGGAAAUGCCCACAACUCCUAGGAAAGCCUUGUCAAAUAGGUGUUUCUUCAGGUUCAUGGUACAGAGGAAGGGUCAAACUACCACCAGGGUCAUAAAACUACCCCUGGAAAUGCCCACAACUCCUAGGAAAGCCUUGUCAAAUAGGUGUUUCUUCAGGUUCAUGGUACAGAGGAAGGGUCAAACUACCACCAGGGUCAUAAAACUACCCCUGGAAAUGCCCACAACUCCUAGGAAAGCCUUGUCAAAUAGGUGUUUCUUCAGGUUCAUGGUACAGAGGAAGGGUCAAACUACCACCAGGGUCAUAAAACUACCCCUGGAAAUGCCCACAACUCCUAGGAAAGCCUUGUCAAAUAGGUGUUUCUUCAGGUUCAUGGUACAGAGGAAGGGUCAAACUACCACCAGGGUCAUAAAACUACCCCUGGAAAUGCCCACAACUCCUAGGAAAGCCUUGUCAAAUAGGUGUUUCUUCAGGUUCAUGGUACAGAGGAAGGGUCAAACUACCACCAGGGUCAUAAAACUACCCCUGG